CAGCAGCCGCGGGAAUACGUAGGUCCCGAGCGUUGUCCGGAUUUAUUGGGCGUAAAGCGAGCGCAGGCGGUUAGAUAAGUCUGAAGUUAAAGGCUGUGGCUUAACCAUAGUAGGCUUUGGAAACUGUUUAACUUGAGUGCAAGAGGGGAGAGUGGAAUUCCAUGUGCAGCGGUGAAAUGCGUAGAUAUAUGGAGGAACACCGGUGGCGAAAGCGGCUCUCUGGUCUGUAACUGACGCUGAGGCUCGAAAGCGUGGGUAGCAAACAGGAUUAGAUACCCGCGUAGUCCCUGUCUCUUAUACC
rnacentral:rRNA from 1 species